UGGGGAAUAUUGCACAAUGUGCGCAAGCCUGAUGCAGCCAUGCCGCGCGUAUGAAGAAGGCCUUCGGGUUGUAAAGUACUUUCAGCGGGGAGGAAGGGAGUAAAGUUAAUACCUUUGCUCAUUGACGUUACCCGCAGAAGAAGCACCGGCUAACUCCGUGCCAGCAGCCGCGGUAAUACGGAGGGUGCAAGCGUUAAUCGGAAUUACUGGGCGUAAAGCGCACGCAGGCGGUUUGUUAAGUCAGAUGUGAAAUCCCCGGGCUCAACCUGGGAACUGCAUCUGAUACUGGCAAGCUUGAGUCUCGUAGAGGGGGGUAGAAUUCCAGGUGUAGCGGUGAAAUGCGUAGAGAUCUGGAGGAAUACCGGUGGCGAAGGCGGCCCCCUGGACGAAGACUGACGCUCAGGUGCGAAAGCGUGGGGAGCAAACAGG
rnacentral:rRNA from 1 species